rnacentral:hammerhead_ribozyme from 1 species
AUCUAGAUGACGAGUCCUAAAUGGAACGAAACGUACGUCCUGGAU